AGUGAACGCUGGCGGUAGGCCUAACACAUGCAAGUCGAACGGCAGCACAGUAAGAGCUUGCUCUUACGGGUGGCGAGUGGCGGACGGGUGAGGAAUACAUCGGAAUCUACUUUUUCGUGGGGGAUAACGUAGGGAAACUUACGCUAAUACCGCAUACGACCUACGGGUGAAAACAGGGGAUCUUCGGACCUUGCGCGAUUGAAUGAGCCGAUGUCGGAUUAGCUAGUUGGCGGGGUAAAGGCCAACCAAGGCGACGAUCCGUAGCUGGUCUGGGAGGAUGAUCAGCCACACGGGAACUGAGACACGCUCCAGACUCCUACGGGAGGCAGCAGUGGGGAAUAUUGGACAAUGGGCGCAAGCCUGAUCCAGCCAUACCGCGUGGGUGAAGAAGGCCUUCGGGUUGUAAAGCCCUUUUGUUGGGAAAGAAAAGCAGCAGGUUAAUACCCCGCUGUUCUGACGGUACCCAAAGAAUAAGCACCGGCUAACUUCGUG
rnacentral:rRNA from 1 species